AGUGUUUGAGGGUUUGAAGGUAAACGUUGAGUGAGCACUACUUCAGACAACAUGAAAGAUCAGAGGCUCUUGUUUUUCCUCUUUCUUCUCUUAAUUCCAUGCUACGGAGAAGAAACAGUGGCCGAGGACGUGGGGGUCCAUCAGAUAGAGCGCCUGGUGGAGCUGCUGACGUCCACAGAGUGCAGGGACCUCCUCACAGCCCUGUCCAGCCCAGAGGAGAACAUCUUCCAGCACCUGAGGCGCCUCCUUCCUGAGAACAACCGCCUGGACCCCAAGCCGCGAGCCAGGAGGGACGCCUCCGAUGCAGACGCCAGGGAGGCGGAGUGCAGGACAGCGCUGACACACUGGCUGCUGAGGAACGGGGAGCAGAUGUACUACGACAGGCUGUCCCGCGGCCUGCAGCACAUCGGCAGGUCAGACAUCGCCGCGGAGGUGGGGAAGAACAUCAACCAGGACAAAGCCCUGAGUCUCAAACGCUACGUUGAGGGCUACCACAAACACGCCAGCCGGUUAAAGACGCUGCCCGCCCGCUCAGAGAGAAGCCCGCAGCCACGCCAAGACUCCAGAAAAACAGCCAGGAAGGUCCGGGACCUAACAUGGCGGGACCUGGACCUGGUUCUGGAGCGGGCCCCGGUCCUCCUGCGGGGGGCCCGGGGUCCUUGAUGGGGCGUGGCCGCUGCUCUACGGCCUGCUGCUGGGCGUGGGCGGAGCCCUCCUCCUCCUCCACAUGGCGGUCCGCAUCUCUGCGAGGGGCCGCCGGAGCGGCCCCCCACGAGGGAGCAGGGAGCAGGGAGACGGCGCGUCCGAGGGGCCCAUCGGGGCCCGGAGGACACAUGUGACCCAACAGAGGCCUACCCGGGAGUGUUGAGGGCCCCACUUUAACGAUUAAACCAAGAUAUUCCUGAAA
ensembl:lncRNA